rnacentral:tRNA from 1 species
GGGCGAUUAACUCAGUUGGUUUAGAGUGCUACCCUUACAAGGUAGAAGUCGUAGGUUCGAGUCCUACAUUGCCCA